AAGUCGUAACAAGGUUUCCGCAGGUGAACCUGCGGAAGGAUCAUUAACACGUAUCCAACGUUAAACCCCCCGUGAACCUUCAUUGUGCUGCGGCAAUCCCUGGUAAAUCAUCGCCGAACAGUUUUGAUUCAGGGACCUCUGCAUGGAGUGGGCAGCAGCGCGAGGCAAGUGGCCUGGCAUUCGAAAGAAUGGCGCAGUAACGAUCGCUAGAGGCCGACACGGCCGGCGACCGGGUCACUGGGCUCACGCCCCCCUAUCACCUUUGCAUGAAAACGGGCCUGCGCUUAAUUGUGCGGCCACCAAACUCGAACAACUGUUAACAAUGGAUAUCUUGGUUCUC
rnacentral:misc_RNA from 1 species